rnacentral:lncRNA from 1 species
AUAUGUAUAAAUAAAAUGAAUGAAGUAGUGAAAAAGUAUUAUAGUUUUGUUAAAAAAUUAAUGAAUGAUAAUGUUGCAAUGCAAAAACCUAUCCCUCACAUGCUCUAUUCUUCCUUGCAUCCUCCCAAUGGGAGGAUACAAAUAGGAUGGAUGUGGGAGUAUAGAAAUAGGAUGGAUGGGCAAUCCCUUUUUUUCAUCCAUUCUCCCUAAAAUUUUGAAUCAAAUGGUGGAUGAAGAUCAUUAAUCCUUCCAAUUUCAUCCAUCCAUCUUCUCAUGACUCCAACCAAACAUAGGGUUAAAGUUCCAAAUUUUAUAAAACUAGAAAUAUAUCAUAAAGCAUAUAAUGGAAGGCAUAGCGCAAGAAUAGUUCAUAGCCUUGGUUUCUUUUUUUUCCCUUUUUCUUUUUCUCUUUGCAGCAAGUUAGGGUUGAUGGGCUACAUCCAUCAUUUACAUUAAAAGAUAAUAAUAAAUGAGGUUCCUACCACACUUUAGCCUAGGUUUCAUAGUCCAUUUUCUUAUCUAGGGAAUUUUUUCAGAUGAUUCAAAUAAAACAACAAAGGUCAUAAAUGCCUAGUAGAUGUAAACAGAAGAAUAUUACAAUUUGCAGACUCCAGAAAACUUCCAUAUUCCUCCAGUCACUUGUUAGUUUCUUCAGAUGAUUCAAAUAAAACAACAAAGGUCAUAAAUGCCUAGUAGAUGUAAACAGAACAAUAUUACAAUUUGCAGACUCCAGAAAACUUCCAUAUUCCUCCAGUCACUUGUUAAUUUGAGGCGUACAUCUCCUCUCCAGUCCAACGAAUUUAAUUCUGUUAACUUUGCAAUCUUCACCUUUAGCUGAGCAUAUUUUCAAGUUUAUCCAAGGUUCAGCAUUGAAUUAAUAGGUCACCUUCAUGCAAGCCAGACUCUUACACUGAUCACAUGCAAGCAACAGGUACGACAUUAGCAUAUCAAAUUGAAUGACUAAACCAAUCCCCUCAACCGAGUACAAUGCACUGCAACCUAGUGCCAAGGUAAUCUUAUUGCAAAAUGAAACUAUUCACCUGUGUUCUGAUAUCUGCAACCCUCAGAUAGACUCUAGCAGCAAAUAGAGUAAAGAUGGCAUGACAUCAGGAUCUUAUCCAAAUUUGACAACAUGUUGGGAAUUGUUUGCACUGGAAGGGUGCAGCUUUACCUUACCAUUCAGUUAAUGCACAUGCUCAAAUCACAUUAGAAUAGGGAUAUCAAAGGUUGAUGUCAACAGCCUGCCAAAUACAUCCCUUGUGCCUCCAACUAUGCAAAAAGAAAAGGAAGAAGAGAAAAGAGACCAAUAAGCAAAAAGGGCUUAGUUGAUCCUUGAAGAGACCAAAGGUAAUCUGGUUUUGGAAUUUUAUGUCACAGAUACCAAAAUUGACUAUUGACUGCAUGGGAAACCCACAGACCUGAUAUACUACUAGCCAGAGAGAAUGGUGUUUAAAAGAUAUACUACUCAUCCUGUCAUUUAGAUGCUCACACCUUGAAGGUUGCAGUAUCCAACAAGUUGUCGAUUACGAGGACAUGCUUGAUAGGUGAUGCCACCUUUUAUGUUCUAAGCCUAUUGAGAGGAGAAGAAAAAAAAAGAUUCUUCGCCCUCUGCACCGCAAAAUAAAAGGAUAUAAAUGUAUACAUAAACACACACACACACACACACAUACACAGACAUAAUAUUACAAAUCAAAUACUAAAUGAUGCAAUACUUCUGCCAACCUUGUCAAGGGCCAAGAAGGUUCCAUGCCCUUCAUUUUUCUGCCACUUGGUGGUGGAAUUGGUAACCAAUAGAAACAGUAGACCAGUAAUACUGGUUCACAAAGGCACCAAAAACAUUCACACUGCAAAAUCAGAUGCAACAAUCACCAAUCUCACAAAUCACAUGCUAUCCAUCAUACCCCUCAUGGAGAUUAUCACAAGUUAAACCCUUAAUCAGGAGGAAGACAAAACAAGUGCCAGGACUCUUAAGUGGCACAGGUUGGGUUUGUUACGCUUCUCUUUUGAUAAGUCCCUUCAUCUGAACAAAGGUGUGGAGAGGCCUGACACAAAAACCCACAGAAUUCCCCAUCACAGCCUACUUAUCCACUCCUCUAACAACUACCUUUCUCAUCUUCAUCUAAAUCCCUCGUUUUUGACACCUUCUUUAAUCUCCUCCUAUUAGCAGCCUCAAAGAGAGAGCAAAGAAACCAAGAAAAAAGGAUAAUCAUUUAGGACAAUUCACAGUCUCCAACACAAAUAACCAUGUCAAAAUAAAACCUCGAAUUAUUAUCAGUUAAUGUAGCACAUAGCAUGAAAACUCCGAACACAAUGAUGUCAUCAUAAUCAAGUAACACAUUUGACAAGACCUCACAUGCCAACCUUUUUAUGUUAUAUCCAAGUAACAUUUCUACCAUAAUAAUAAAUCUUCAUCCUCGACUUUCAAGAGUCAAUAUGACUUUCAUAAACAAACCACCUCCAUCUCUUCAAUUUUUUGAUACUUAUGCCACCAUCUUUCCUAGGCUUAAGGAACAUAUACUAUGAUUAUCUAGGUGAGAUUGUUAAGCAGGGAUAUUUGAAGUGCCCCCUAUUUUUCUCCAGAAUUGAGUGUUGGUCCAAAUACUUUUGAGUGGAACAUUUUUGACACAUUAUUCCAACAUGUGCUUCCCUCUCCACAUCCUUCACAUGACUACAGACCCUCCCAAACAAUAUUGUUAGUUAGCCUUUACAAAAUCAACUCAAUUCAUAAAACCCUAACCACAUUAUAUAUCUCCACUAAAACAUCGUAAGCCAUCUAGCACCCAAUGGUGGGGGGCGUUGUGGUCAAGAUAUCUAAAUUUUUACCCCACCAUCUCAACCAUGACCCCUAUGAUGACCCUCUUUAUAUCACGAAACGACUGACAAAACUGUAAUCCUUCAAAUCCACUGAAACCUUCUUUACUCAAAAAGUAUAAUAAAAGCGUCACACAUAUUCAUCUGAAAGGAGAAAAAAAUGAUGAAUACAUUUAGAAUUCUUCAUAAUGAUAGAAUGAAUAACAUUUCUAGAGGUGAUAAAACUCAACAUUUUCAAACCCACGUCACCAUCCUUAGUAUUAAGCAUAAUAAAAGUCGCACUGUUAUCUUCCCAAAAAGAUGAACAUAAUGUAAUUGAGGAAACUCACAUUACAGCUCCUUGCACAUUAAAAGAAUGGGUAGACAAGAAAUAAGAAACCACUAGGAUAGACAUAUUCCCCCUCCAAAACAAAAUAUUCUUUAUCCGAUUUAACCUGCUCAAACUACUACUUCUGCUGCAAAUAUAAAUCAACUCCAUCAAGACUCCAACCUUUCAUGCCCUGAUCAGAGUCUCCCAAUUCCAUCAAACAACUGCCAGAAAGUUUACAUGUUAUGGCCUACUUCUUGUGAACAUAACCUUUUCUUUCUCUAUUACCUCAAAAGUAAGCCUGAUCUCUUAAUUUAUUCCAUUACAAUGCAAAUCACGAAAUAUAUGAAAUAAAUCAAUAAAUUAAAUGUAGCUCACAUAUGAUUCAAGCAACCUGGGUAAUUUAGUUGUUCAAAUCAUCUCUAGUAAGGUGAUUAAAACAUCAUAUAACAAUAAUUUGAUUAAGUCUUCGAACAUUAAUUGUCUCCAUCUACCAGGGGCCAAGUUAUGGAAGAAACUAAAGUUCCUGUCACUUCUUUUCAUCACAACAAUAUCCACUAUCUCACAAACGUCAAGUCUAACUCAAUUAGGAUAUCCAUUGCCUAAAGAAUCAUGAGAUAUGCUUGUCAAAAGCCUCAAAUGCCAUCAGAAAUAGGUUGAAGAGAAUUCUACAAGUACCAUCAAUUCGAUCAACUACUUUAUGUGACCAUUAGAUGUAGUCAAUAGCCUCUGCUUCCUACAGCAAGACUUGAUUAUGAUGUUCAGAAGUCAAAAUUGUCCAGAAAUUGCACAAUUUUCUGAAGUCUACAAGACACCAAGCACCUAAAACCUUACUAGCAUGCACCAAGAUCACCUAAAGGUGCCCAACUGCAGUGAGAUCAUUAAAACUUGCGGCCAAGCAUAUUAAAAAUAGGUAGAUAAAGAUAAUUUAGAAAAACCAUUUAACUGGAAUGCAAGAUUAAAUUUGCGAGCAUUUAGAAAAAUACAGGAAGCCCCAGUGAGGUUAUAUUUGGUUUGCAGAAUGAGAGUUGGGAUGAAAUGCAAAUUCUGUCAUUAACCUUAUUCCCCUAUUUGGUUUGCAGAACAAAUAAGAAAACCGUAAUUCCUUCAGAAUAACCAUUUCCUUAAAUAAAUGGACUGUCAUUCCACUCUUAAAUGGGAAUGUCAUUGCCGUUGAAGUAGGAAUAGAUGGUAAUUUUGGUAUGAACUAGUCAGCAGCAUUUAUAGUAUAAAUGAAAUGAUGAUAUAUUUGAUGUGAACUAGUUAGUGGCAUUUAUGGUAUAUAAUGAUAAUAAAAUUAGGAAAAUACUAUUUACUAGGACUUAUUGAGAACUAAUUACUUUACUAGGAUGAAUAGUGGAAACAUAAAAGAAUAAUCAUUACAACACUAUUAACGGUUGUUAUCUAAAGGUGUCUCAAAUAUAUGCAUGACGCCUUUAGGAAAAGGAAAAAAAAAA